UGUGCACAGCUCAGCAGCCGUCCAUGCAACGGCCGUGAGUCACCAUUCAAACUGAAAUGCUGCAUCUCAACACCGACCAAACUUUGUGUUAACUGUACCACCGUGCACGUGAGUGCAGCUGCUCUAACAGAACAGCAGCAGUGCUGGCUGAGCUGAGGGCUGCCUCCCAUCCCAGCUGUGUUGCAGCUGUGCACGGUGGGGUUGGGGCCAUGCCCUGUGCACAGCCCCUGCUCCUCCAGCCAGGACACAGCACUGCAUUGCUGAUGGCAGCGCCGUGCGGUCACUGCAGGCCAAAGCAGCACACAUUGAGCAGUUUGUGAGGUCCAGCAAACCAGAGGUUAUCAGUCUGAAACCCUCCUGAGGUACAUUUACCGAUUCUUAACUGGUAACCUAAAUGAGAUGGUAGUUUUCUUGAAAAGACCUCAUGAGGCCUUACUGCUUCGUUCCUCCUGGCCCUCCCAGCAGCCAGUUUGCUUUAGCACACAGGCAGGAAGCCUGCAGUGCCUGCUGCAAGUAACGCGUUUAAAGUCAGGGUCAUGAACAAAAAGGGUUAGUCUGGUCUGUAAACAGAGGUGAUAAGGGUUUAACCAAACCCACAGUACUUCCCAGGCCCCCCUGCGUGCUGACAUUCAUGGCUGUGCUGCAUUCCAGGGCCCCAAGUGUCAGCAGCUCCCGCUUACUCAGUGACAGCGCCUGCAGUCUGGGUGCCCGCAGGUCCCGUUCUGCAGGACCCGGCCCAGGCUGCGCCCACCUGCCCAGGAGCCACAGCUCUCCCCGGCCAGCAAUCACUGCAGCCCAAUGGAGAGCCGGGGGACCCGCGGGCGGCCGCUGCAGAGCUGUGUUGUGCAGUGGGCGUCGCACUGACAGCAGUGGCUGUUCGGAGUCACAUUCCCUUAGCUGAGGUCUCAAAUUCAGAUUUCUCGGAUGGUCAACACAUUUGCAGACAAAGGUUCACAGGACAAGUGUGGAUUCUAAGUAGGAAAGAGAACGCAUUCAAAUUCACCACAUAUUUCUUCUGCUGAAGAUUUAAACAUUGCGUGGCUUUAGCUUUCUUUCUGUUCACUGAAUAUCAAGGUCAAUUAGGAAUGAUGUCUGGCUAGUACUCUCAGAGCAGAUUAGACAGUUGCAUCAAAAACUAGGACCGUGUAUAGGUCAUCUGUUACUGUGACCUACAUUUCUGAGAAUCUGUUCAAUUUGUUUUAUUCAAAAUGUUGUGCCGUCUCAGUUCUGUUUCUUAUAGUAAACCUAUAACAGUAGAAAAUAGCUUCAUUAGAUACGUACAUAGACACUGCUUACUCCUUCUACUAAUACACAAAGAAAAUGAGAUCCGUACAGCAGACCUGUGUCUGUCAUCCAUUUAAUUUUGAAAUAACUUAAGGUUCUGAAAGGCUUAUGCCUUAUAAUCUAAGGCAUUCGGCCCACAUGCCAAACACUAAGCAAUGUGAAAUACAUAACAGCUUAGCUGCAGCUUUGCUUGCCCUAUUUAAUUCAUUUUUACCUUCAGUAACCGGUGGAUAGAUGCAGUGCUCGGUGUUACGCUUUGCAAAUGAAGAACAUACUGCACUACUUGAGUGCAGCAGGGCUGUUUCCUUUCUGCCAUGUGAGCUUUGGGGAACCCUUACAGGACAGUGAGUUUUACUGCUCUGUCUGAACAGAACCAGACUUCUUCCAGAACUUUGCGUUUACUCGUGUAUGAGGAUUUUACCAUCCGCAUUUUGACACUAGUGCUCAGUGUCUGAGAUACCAACCUAUGCUUUCUGGGUUGUCAUUGUGAAACCACAAAGUGUUUCCAAGAGAAAUCUGCCUUGUGGAAAAGAUUCCUCUCUACUGACAGCUCUGAGUUGUUCCAGUCAGAAGAACCAGGAAUUGGGCAAACGUGUGCUGGUGGAAGUGCUUGGAAGGGGAAGGAGAGAAAGUAUCUUAAAAUCUUAGAAAAUAGCUUCUAAGUACCAAUGAAUUCAGUGCAAAAGGAAAACUGUAAAGUGACAUAAUAAUUGAAUACUCGAUUCAAACAGUAUUCUAACCAGAUUUUAGCACUACCAUCUACACCCCUGCAGCUCAUCGCUGUGCUUCGAGAACUGGCACAGAACACCCCUACAUCAGCUGUGCUCUCAUCACAGCCCAGGAGAAAACGCAGGCAGUGGGAUCAAACAACUGUAGGAGAGAGCACAAAAGGAGAGCUAACAGAUCGAGCUUCUCAGGGCGCCCAUGAGGCCAUGGGUGCUGGACUGUGGCCACGCAAGCCAGGAGCAGCUGCUGCAGCAGUGCUGCACAAGGCAGGCUCAGCAGGACGCUCGCUUCUGCGGCUCUCAGCAUGUGGGAGCCAUUUCCCCUCCUUCUUCCCCAUGUUUUGCAGCACCGGGGCCUUGCAGUGGAGAAGUGGAUGCUAAAUGCACAGGCAUGAAGGGAUCCUUAGUCUCAAAAAUAAGGUCUGCGUGGGUUGCAUGGGAACCACGCAGGUCACAGCUUGGAGGAAACAAUCUGCUUGUAGAUUGCUGGGUAUUCUCUUCAUAACCCUCAGAAUGAUCUAAAAGAUCAGUGGUCCCUAAAAUUUGUUUUUGGUGGGUUUUUUUGCUUAUCUUAUUUCCCAUCUAUGACGCUACAUCACGUUAUCUUUUAGCAACAAGAGAAACCUAGCUGUAUCCAUGUGCCCAUGAAUGCUAUAGGAAGCAGUGCACUUGGAAUUACAACUCCCUUUGAUGCUCUACAGACACAGGACAUUGACUUGCAUCACAUCCUUUGACACACAGACUUAAAAGAGACACCUGGGCCAGGGCUGGGUGGGAUCUGGUGCUGCCAGCACAGCAAUGGGCACCCAGUGAGGAAAUGGGGACCUGCAUGGCCUCCACAGGAAAAAAAAAUAGGUCCUUUAUGCACUUGACUAGUAGUUACUAGAAGUAAAAUCUUUACCAUAUUAAAUACAUCUUGAAUACAUGCUUCAAGAUAGCAACGUAGAGUUGGCCCAGAGGUGCCAUGCUUUCUAAGCUGAGCCAAAAAAGUGAUGUUUCAGAGGUGUUACUUUUGAGAAGAACUGCAAGUCUAGAAGUCUGGCAGAUGAGAAUUGGAUUAUAUAGCUGAAAAACACAGACCAUCUUCAAAGGACAAGUUGCAGUGAAUAGGACAUGACUGAAAAGCAAAUCCUUCAUCUGAUCUCUCUCCAUCCAUACAGCUUCCAAAGCAGAUAUUUUUGUACUUGUCGGCAGUAUCAGUUUGUGAACACAGGCACGUUGCUACAGCCAAGGUGUGGGACGUGUUGCACCUGGGAGCUGCCCCUGCUCAGAAGGGCCCUUCCCUUCCCUUUGCAGUGAGGACCAUGUGUCAGUCUGCUCUUUCAGGAUUCAAGCACAUAAAGAAAAACUCUUCAGAUCUCUCUUCUGAUUACUUUGCAACACAAAUUUUCUCUGUCAAAUACGCAUGCAAUUUUUGCACUUUUCUUCAGUGUCUUGAAGUGUUAAAAUGAUUUCUGGUAAGGUGCAUGCAGCAAUGCCCAUAGAGCAGGCUUUGUACAUGCUGAUCAGAAACAAAGGAGAGAGUAAUUCCAAAGACCAGGAUUCUCUUCAACAUUCUGAUCUCCAGCUACAUUUUGUUUUUCAGAAAAAUAUAAGGACAUUUCCAGCCUCACUGCUGAGACUUGUAUAAGAGCAGAUAGCAUCUUCUGGCCAAGUCCAACUGUUUCCCAUCUGAAAGCAGAAAGUCCAUUCUCCACAGCAGAAGCAGUUUUGGCUAACAGGAAUGCCGCACUGAGAGCUGUGCCAGUAGUUUCUAAAAAUACCAAAAGGAAGAACCCAGGCUGGGCCUUGGUGCUUGCACAGAUCAGCUGCCAUCAACAAGAGCACUCAGCACAGUGGUACCUUUGGAGGAAGUUCUUACCUGAGCUCACCACUGUAAUAACGCAGGAGAAAUAUUUCAGUGAUGAAGAAUCAGUAGCAUGCUGCAUAUACCAACAGACAGUGGCGUUGUAUCUGCAGAAGCUGCUUACCAGCAUUAGAUGUGCCACAGCACAACUGCAGGAACUUAUUUUUAACACUGAGGAAUCUCAGCUGUCCUGACAAUGAAUACUGACAGUAAUCUUUGGGGCAACAAACGUAAAAGAUGUGGGAUAAGAGGAGUUCACAGGGAUGCUGCUAGGGAACCCACACAAAGAAAAAUUCAUUCACGGUUACUGGAUGCGCAGGGGCUGAGACACAGGGAGCUGAAAGCCAUCUGGAAGACAGCAGAUGAUUAGGAAGAAAUAUGCAAGUUGCUCCUGCUUAUGUCCUCUAUGUGCCCAUUAACCACCACUUAGAUCUGCUUCAUUGUAGCUGAUAGCUGCAAUUCAGCAGAGCUCCCAGCCAUCACUUGGUUUUGGUUUUCUUUUGAAUUAAACGGAAGAUUUCUUACAUUACGUAAAACAAGAUGAAGAUGUACGAAAUAAAGCUAUCCUGGGCUGAGAUCGCUUUGUUCCACGCACACUGCAGGCCCACGCUGCCGGCACGCAGCUCACUGCAGACCCACAGCUCUGCUCAGAGGAGCCCCCCAGGGUGCAGGAGCUGCUGCCACCUCCCUUUGGUGCCUGGGGAGGGCUGGGAAGAAGGAGGCAGAGCUGGCAAUGCUGUGCGGCUGAUCCCUGCACAAAAACAACUUAGGAGACAGAUACUGAGCUGAAGCCUAAUCCACUGUGAUCGUUCCUAUGUAAGUAGGUCAGCAAGAAAGCCCCCAAACGCAGCGUCUUCCAGCCCAGCAGCGGUUCUCCCUGCAAGCGCAUUUGACAGAUACUACUUUUAGCAGGUAACGCGUUGGGGGGUUUGAUUUUGAGAGCUCGUGUGUUUGCCAUAGGAAGGUAAAGCAAGUUCCAUUUAAAAAGUACAGCUGUUUCAGCUUCUGCUUCCUCUUUGUUUUGCUGCAUUAUCUCUCUGCAGUUCAAAAGAAGCUUUUCACUCUUCCAUGCUCUCUUGCAACAAAAGAUUACACCAAUUUUGUGAAGCCAAAACAUUUUCCCCUACUUAGCCCAGACUCGAGGCUCUGUGUUUCCCUGCAGCCCCAGAAGCACCACGGAGCUCAGGGCAGCUCUGCUGUGCUCUGCGGUGUGGGUAAGGGUACCAGCAGACAGGACAGAGCUCUGCCUUUCGUUAAUGUGCUUCAGAGAACUUUAUCUGCAAUUUGCAUGCGCAUACCACUGGUUUGAUCAACUUGAUCCUGACACUGAGCUAAACAGACUGGCAGUAGUCUUGAUUAUUUCCUUUGCUCUCAGCUCACCUUUUUAGAAACCCUUCCUGUUCAGCAAUCUCUUUGGCAUAGCCCAUACUCAUCAGGACAAAGUACCAUUUCAGCAGCUACAGGAGAACUAAGUGCAGAUGCAACAGCCUCUGUCCCUGUAAUACCUCACAGUAGUUAGAUUGCACACACACGUGCAGUCGCUGACCUGACACAGCAAGUACUGCUGCUUACAGUAGAGUCCUUGGUGCCAGAACAGUCAAUGGUCCUUGUUCCCAAACAUCAAACUUUGCGUUUGACUGUACCAAAACAUUCAUUUUUGCUGUUUAUCUAGAGACACGGGGUUAUGUUUCUAUCUAUCCUUCAUCUUUCCAUUUAAAACAAAAGAACAAAAACCUGCAACAACUGAAACAGUGUUUCUCCCAGGUGUGCAGAGCAGUGCUUUACAACACAGCGCAGUCACUCUUAAGUCAUCAACUUGGUCAGGUUCCCAUUUAGAAUUAUGCUGAGACCUCCUCAUUUGUCACUUUUUAAUCCUUUUAACGUUUGCCAUAGCAAAUUUGUAUCAUACCAGUUUGAGGUGUCAUAUGUUAUUAAGUCAGACACCUCACACAGGUCCAGAGUUACGCUGCAUCCACCAGCCAAUUUGUCAGCUCAAAAUUGAAUCACAAUAACUUGUGAAAUCCCCCAUAAAUCAUUGGAAACGGCUAUCAGUUUCAUUCCUCUCUGGUCCCAGAAGAGCUCUGUGUUUAUUUUCUCUGAUAUAGCAUUGUAGCAUUACGGUCCCACAGGGCAAAUGGUGCAGAUUGGUUCCUUUGUGCCCCGAUCUCACCGUACCCCAAGAUGUAUCCAGCAGCCCAACAGUGAGCCUUGGGGCAGGGUGAAGAAACAGAAGCAUCAGUGCUAAACGUGAAGGCUGUUUGGCUGCGGCGUCGCUGCUCACACGCUCACAUCAACAACAAGAACAUUCUCAUGGCACAGCUGAGCUUGCUUGGGACAAAACAAAGGCGUUUGUACCCGGCCUUCCCACCGCUGCCGUGCGCCCGCACGCCCCAUCGUGCACGGAGCGCCGUGCAGGCGACAGCGUGACCUGGUGGAGGUCGGGGGCACGAAGGGAGGAAGAUGUGAACUGAGGAAAAAGCCUGUGUCACAAGGAUCAGUUGAUGCUUAGUGGCACCAUUAAGAUCAGUCAGUCCAUGUAAGCAGUGACUCCAAGCUGUAUCCUGGGAACACGCUCAUCCCUCACGUGAACAUCCAGCUUGCUCGGCAUGAGACAACUGACUGGCUUUAACUACUUUUGCAGACAAUACGCAGGUUGUUAAGUUAUGUUCAUAGAGAACGCUCUUGGCCCUGGGAUGAGAGGAAGCACUGAAUUGAAAUCCUCUGCAGAAUUUUACAGUGAAAUGAUUCCUGCUAACUUUGUGAGCUCUGCUUCACUCCCUGCAGUUGUUUCAGGAACAGCAGCAGAUUCCACUUCUAAAAAUAAGCUGCAAGUAGCUUCUCUCUCAAACCCACAAACCAGGUGGAAAAAAGUGAAGACGACUAGAUACAAUAUAGACAUUUAAAGAGACUAAAUGCAAAAUUACAAGGCUGGGAGCAUCAUCCCUGCUGCAGUCGGCACAGAAAACAUUUCAGCAUUGGGUGAAUCCACUGGGAAUCACAGGAUCAGUCUGCCAACCCCCACCCCACGGCUCUGCCUUUGAAGGGUGACCCGAGCUUCAGGCUCCAAAAUGCUUCAAAAACCUUAGAGCAGUUAUUGACAAUACACACAUCCACAGGAAGAAAGGCUCUUUCACAACUGCCAUUCAGACACAUUCAAAGCUGUUUUAAGCACUAAGUCAAGUUCACACUGAUAACAGUAUUGUUAUACUUCUGCUAUUCAUUAGUGCUCCCGGUUCCAUUUUGUAAUUAAAAUACUCCAUUUUGAAAUUAAAAUACUCGGAGCAGUUUAAGACUUUGCAAUAAAGAAUGUGCAGCCCUCAACAGUGUUUCCACUGCUAGUCUAUGGAAAACAUAUGCAUGGAAAAUAUGCACAGUACAUGUAUACAGCCAUCUUUGGAUAGCUUCAGUGAACAUUCAACGCUGUCGGUGAGUUUGAGAACUAAGAAAAACCAUCGACCGUUGACUGUACCUUGAGGUUUAUCACAAACCCUCUGUUAAACGGAGCUUGAACCUUCAUAGCUAUAUACAUAUGGUUGCUAUUAGCACGCUGUGAUUUACAGAUCAUAUUGAAAGCUACAGAGAUGGAGUUUUUCCAGUUCUACUUUCUCAAAAAAUGAAUUGAUGUGUAAGAAAUAGUUGUUUUCUAUUUUUAAAAGACUAUGAGUUAGACCAGAAUUUCUGCAAAACAAAGUAUCUGAGAGUAAUGGAAGAUUUUGGGUGGACACCACAAGAGUAGUAACGGAUCUACAGCAUAUGGUAUACUUGGAAACAAACCUGAGGAUGGUACAUGUUCAGAACAGCAGAAGGGGAACCCAUCCCAUUUGGACUGGCAACUUGAGCUCAGCUAGAAGCAGCUCAGGAAUGUCAGCUCAUUUGCUCCUAGGAGCCUGCACUGGGUUUCAGCAGCUGCUCACCAGCAGCACUGCCAGAGGACUGGAUUCCUCCCCACAGGGUCCAGCUGCUCCCAUGACUCACGCUGUCGCUUUACAAGCAGGCACACAGGCAAAUGUCCCUCCUUUCAAAGGAGAGGUGAACGCACACAGCUCAGCAGCACCUGCUCUGCUGUCCCACCUGGCUGCUCAGGUGCAGCACCACACACAGCCUGCUGUAACAGCACCCUCACAAGAGCACGGGCACCACAGAACCCAUAAGGGAAUGGCUUAGAGCACACGCCUGUUGGUUUGGGCUGUUGUGGAAGAGAUCACAUGCAGUUUUACUUCUGUACACAGCCACGAGAUAUUUGUCUCAGACCCACAAGAAAGCACAGACUCCUGAAAGUGACAGCUAUUCCCUGGAAGUACACUUUGCACCUUUAUCUGCUCAUAUCACACGAUCCAGCAGAAUUAAAACAACAGAACAGGCCCUUAUCACAUUGCUUUUGACAGUACUGGGCAUCUGGUACCCCAACCACCAGGACUUCCCUACCACGAGGGUCUGAAAGCCUUCAGCCACACAGACCCUCAUCACGGAGCAGCACUCCUGGCCAGGGCAUGUGCCCUGUGCAAGCUCUGCUGGUGGCUCUGCAGUAAUCUCAGAGAGGACAAACACUUGGGCAGGAUGUCUCUCAUACUGCUGUAACACAAGCAUUUCUGGAAUGAAACCCAGCCCUCAUCAAGUUUGAGGACAGGGAUUGUGCUCAAGAAUUGUUGGACAAUCAUUUCAGUGGCAGCAGGGCGAAGGUGCGAUGACGAACAUGCAGUUCUCAGCCUUGUGCUACACAGUUGGGAAUGAUCUGAUCUGCAGAAGCAAUCUGCCUGCCAGCAGGAAUCUGUGAGUAACCGAACAAAUCACCUUUACGUAGAGGGUAACGUUUGUCAUAUUUUAAUGCCAUUAUCAGAGCACAGAAUGUUUGUCUACUAUCCUCCCCACGGAAAUAUAAUUUCCAGAAGUCACCAAGACUUCAAGAAGCCCUGAAAUAACCGCGUGCUCCGAGACCAAGGACUGCACUGCCGCCUGCCCUGCAGGACCACACAGCACAGUGGGGCUGUCAGCGCUCCGGCCCAGCAUCUAAUGGCUGCAAUCAACAUUCAUUGCUGUCGGUGGGUUUUUGUUGCUAUCAACUCACUGAUCAAUGAAUGCAAACUGCGGACCAGCUGGCUAAGAGGCUGCGUGACCAUGCUGCUCACCUGGGGCUGAGCCUGGCAGGAAGGGGACACAUGCCUGCUGCUGGAGAAGCUGAGUCGAGUUCUGCCUGCCAGUAACCAGAGGGCUGCACUGGGGCUCAACAGGAGCAGUGGAACAUGCCAGCCCUGCUCACCAGGGAGCACGUGCCCAUAGGGAUGCUCUUUGCUAUCUGGCAGCCUGCCUCAAAAGAUUAAUGUUCUACAAAGCAGUGCAUUUGGGAUAAAAUAAGCAUACCCUGUAGAUAAGCAGAUAUUCUAACAGGCCACAAACACAGCUUUUUUCAAGGCUGUAUUUCUGUUCCAAGUACAAGAAAGCAAUCGUGAGCCAUCUUCAGUGCAGACACCAUUAGUCCAUGCUGCUUCUAUGGGGGAUCCUUUAUAGAGCAUACAAGCCAUCUGUAUAAAUAUGGAAGCCUGAUCAGAUGCAUCUCUGUGCCAGUCUGUACUAUUGAAGCACAUUAAAAACAUUAUCUUGGAAUAUGAA